GCGGACCAAGGAUGCUGACGCAGGCCUGAGUCCGGAAAAGACCCGCACAUCUGGGGCCCAAGUGGCCCAUUUCCCCAGAGGCGAGCAAGGACUCUCAGGAAUCAUCAUCCUUCCCAUGAAAUCCUGGAAACUGCUUACUCAUUUAAGGAUCUUUCCAAAGGUCUUCAAUUUUGAUAUAAGCAACAAAGAAUAAGAGGCUAUUAGAUCAGAAAUAUUCCAUGAAGAAGGGAGCAAAGAUUCAUGUCACCGACAACUGGAGAAGAAACAGAGAAAGGUACUCAUGAUGUGUGACAAAUGGCAUGCCUCCUGCAACAGUUAUGAGUUAUGUGCCUAAACAGGAAGGAUCAUCUCAUUGCAGAAUUAGGGCAUCAUCCAGUGGGAAGGGAGUUUCAAGGUCAUUUAGUCCAGCCUCCGAGUGAUACAGAAAUUCUCUUUGCAGCAUCCCUAUCAGGUGGCCAUCAAACUUCUACUAGUGUAUUCAUCCACACCUGGUCUGUCUAAAACCUUGAGAACAGCCCCUUGUAUAGUUCAAUAGCCCCAACUGAAGGAAAAGUUUUUGUUAUUUUCAGUAAACAUAUUCUGUUUUAUAACUUUGGUUGAUCGGUUCCCCUUUAGCGACCCAGAAAACACUGAGCUCCCUCUGACACCCAUGCCCUUUGACUGAAAGUCAGCCAUAAAAUAGAGCA
rnacentral:lncRNA from 1 species